rnacentral:lncRNA from 1 species
UUCCCGGAAAUAGCUGGAAUGACGCACAGCUAUACUAUUCUCACCAAAGCUCUGAUACCAUAACCCACAGGUCCCAGGAUCGAACCUGGCUCUGAUACCAUGUGAGAAAACACGGGAGAAGAAUAUAUAAUUGAUAUGUAAACAUGAUACAAUGAGCCCUAUAUAUAAUACACAUAACCUAGCCUACUCCUAAUACAGUUUAGACUAGACUUCUAAUACAGUUAGACUUCUAACAAAUACGCCUUUGUAUAAUUUCUAGCUCCGCCACUGUAACCAUUGUAAUUAAGUCUUUGAAUAAUAAAGAUCCUAUUUCUACUCGUUGUUGUUCUUCUCCAGCUAUAUAUCUAUACUUCUUCUUCAAUUUUGUCACUAAAUCAAUGACAUGCAGUAUUGAUUACUGAAUUUAGAACAUAUUUAUACAAGUGUACCAACUCCUUUUG